UACGUAUGGUGCAAGCGUUAUCCGGAUUUACUGGGUGUAAAGGGAGCGCAGGCGGCACGGCAAGCCUGAUGUGAAAGCCCGCGGCCCAACCGCGGGACUGCAUUGGGAACUACCGGGCUAGAGUGCCGGAGAGGUAGGCGGAAUUCCUAGUGUAGCGGUGAAAUGCGUAGAUAUUAGGAGGAACACCAGUGGCGAAGGCGGCCUACUGGACGGUGACUGACGCUGAGGCUCGAAAGCGUGGGGAGCAAACAGG
rnacentral:rRNA from 1 species